UGUGGGUACACCCGUUACAGACAGCUCUCAGCGGGUCCCCGGAGCGCAGGGCACGGGGGGAGGAAGCGGAAGCCCGGUGGCGCUCAGAAGGGACUUGCCCAGGGUGUCAGAGCUGGGGAGCAGAGCAGCCUAGAAGCAACCCAGCCGUCACUAGCUUCCAAGACGACAACACUUAGUCCCUGACCUGAGACAACCCCCAAGAGCCCGCACUUACUAGGAGGAGCUCGCAAGCUGCCAACAACACCCCGUGAAUACAUGUUCAGGGUUCCAUCAGGAGACGCCCACAGUGACUGAUGAGUCAUCAGAUGACCAGCUGUCAGCACAGCGCACUAUAUAUAGAAGGGGAAGGCCGGAGGGGUGCCUGGGACCUCAUGCAAGGACGGAGAGCAUGCACCGAGGAGGAGAUACAGGGUGCAGGAGUUAGGGCAGCCAGAAAAAGGAGAGAAGGGAAGAGAAGACAAAGAAAAACUGUAGAAGGGAGCCACGUACUGAUGCUGACUUUGGCCUAAGCAUGGCCCUCUCUCGGCUUACACUUUUGAGCCAGCGAUUUCAUUUCGAGGUAACAGACAACCAGGAGAAACGAGGGCUUCCGUUCAACAGCCACUCACACGAAGACACGAAGACACGUACGUAGCAGUUUUCUUCGUGAGAGCCCCACCCUGGAAACAGCCGAAAAGCCCACCAAGGGAAGAACAGAUCACUGGCCAUGAUGUAUUCAGGCAAAGGGACGCUCUGGGGCUUUGGCAAGAGAGCAAAAUGACUGUUCCACGUGAGCACACGGAUGCGUAGCCCAGGCAAUGCCGAGCGAAAGGUAUUAGACGCGCCGGAAUGCUUGUUGCACAAUUCUAUUCGUGAAGGUCCGCAACCAGACAAAACAAGUCCAUACUGUCAGAAGAAGGGUUAUCUUGGGGUGCCUGGGUGGCACAGCGGUUGGGCGUCUGCCUUCA